CUCCUCCUCCAGUGAAAUCUCCCCCACUUCUAUACCAUUACUCUUCCCCUCCGCCUCCCAAGAAGUCCCCCCCACCACCAUACCACUACUCCUCACCUCCUCCUCCGGUAAAGUCUCCACCGCCUCCAUACCACUACUCGUCACCUCCAUCACCCAAGAAGUCCCCCCCACCACCAUACCACUACUCAUCGCCUCCUCCUCCGGUUAAGUCUCCCCCACCACCGUACCACUACUCAUCACCACCUCCUCCCAAGAGGUCUCCUCCGCCACCGUAUCACUACUCGUCACCACCUCCUCUCAAAAAGUCUCAUCCGCCACCAUACCAUUACACAUCAC
rnacentral:lncRNA from 1 species